CGCUGGCGGCGUGCCUAAUACAUGCAAGUCGAACGAGUUCUGAUUAUUGAAAGGUGCUUGCAUCUUGAUUUAAUUUUGAACGAGUGGCGGACGGGUGAGUAACACGUGGGUAACCUGCCCAUAAGUGGGGGAUAACAUUUGGAAACAGAUGCUAAUACCGCAUAAAUCCAAGAACCGCAUGGUUCUUGGCUGAAAGAUGGCGUAAGCUAUCGCUUUUGGAUGGACCCGCGGCGUAUUAGCUAGUUGGUGAGGUAACGGCUCACCAAGGCAAUGAUACGUAGCCGAACUGAGAGGUUGAUCGGCCACAUUGGGACUGAGACACGGCCCAAACUCCUACGGGAGGCAGCAGUAGGGAAUCUUCCACAAUGGACGCAAGUCUGAUGGAGCAACGCCGCGUGAGUGAAGAAGGCUUUCGGGUCGUAAAACUCUGUUGUUGGAGAAGAAUGGUCGGCAGAGUAACUGUUGUCGGCGUGACGGUAUCCAACCAGAAAGCCACGGCUAACUACGUGCCAGCAGCCGCGGUAAUACGUAGGUGGCAAGCGUUAUCCGGAUUUAUUGGGCGUAAAGCGAGCGCAGGCGGUUUUUUAAGUCUGAUGUGAAAGCCCUCGGCUUAACCGAGGAAGUGCAUCGGAAACUGGGAAACUUGAGUGCAGAAGAGGACAGUGGAACUCCAUGUGUAGCGGUGAAAUGCGUAGAUAUAUGGAAGAACACCAGUGGCGAAGGCGGCUGUCUGGUCUGUAACUGACGCUGAGGCUCGAAAGCAUGGGUAGCGAACAGGAUUAGAUACCCUGGUAGUCCAUGCCGUAAACGAUGAAUGCUAGGUGUUGGAGGGUUUCCGCCCUUCAGUGCCGCAGCUAACGCAUUAAGCAUUCCGCCUGGGGAGUACGACCGCAAGGUUGAAACUCAAAGGAAUUGACGGGGGCCCGCACAAGCGGUGGAGCAUGUGGUUUAAUUCGAAGCAACGCGAAGAACCUUACCAGGUCUUGACAUCUUUUGAUCACCUGAGAGAUCAGGUUUCCCCUUCGGGGGCAAAAUGACAGGUGGUGCAUGGUUGUCGUCAGCUCGUGUCGUGAGAUGUUGGGUUAAGUCCCGCAACGAGCGCAACCCUUAUGACUAGUUGCCAGCAUUUAGUUGGGCACUCUAGUAAGACUGCCGGUGACAAACCGGAGGAAGGUGGGGAUGACGUCAAAUCAUCAUGCCCCUUAUGACCUGGGCUACACACGUGCUGCAAUGGAUGGUACAACGAGUUGCGAGACCGCGAGGUCAAGCUAAUCUCUUAAAGCCAUUCUCAGUUCGGACUGUAGGCUGCAACUCGCCUACACGAAGUCGGAAUCGCUAGUAAUCGCGGAUCAGCACGCCGCGGUGAAUACGUUCCCGGGCCUUGUACACACCGCCCGUCACACCAUGAGAGUUUGUAACACCCGAAGCCGGUGGCGUAACCCUUUUAGGGAGCGAGCCGUCUAAGGUGGGACAAAAAAU
rnacentral:rRNA from 1 species